UACGGAGGAUCCGAGCGUUAUCCGGAUUUAUUGGGUUUAAAGGGAGCGUAGGUGGAUUGUUAAGUCAGUUGUGAAAGUUUGCGGCUCAACCGUAAAAUUGCAGUUGAAACUGGCAGUCUUGAGUACAGUAGAGGUGGCGGAAUUCGUGGUGUAGCGGUGAAAUGCUUAGAUAUCACGAAGAACUCCGAUUGCGAAGGCAGCUCACUAGACUGCAACUGACACUGAGGCUCGAAAGUGUGGGUAUCAAACAGG
rnacentral:rRNA from 1 species